UUGCUCUCAAAUUCGUGAGUGACACUCAUAGUCGAGCUUCUUCUUGAUAUGAAUCGAAACUACAUCACAUUAAAGACUUAAACGAAGCAUUAAGAUGUUAAAUCAGAAAUCCAACCAAAUUUUUGUCCAUUUCUACUAAAUACAACUCUGUAUCAUGGUAGCCUGUUCCCCUACACCGGCGUCAAAUUCUUUUUCCAGAAAAUUUUUAUAUAAGGUACCAGGAUCACAUGACGGAAGUGGAAGUAGCGACUUUAGUUUUGGAAUUCACUGAUACACUCCACUGGAAAUUUGCGUUAAAAUAGACAACAUUUUGUCAUUUACAACUGAAAAUUUCGUCCUGCAA